GAGUUCGCAGCCGGAACGUUGCAGGCACUUGUUUCCUCAGUGGAUGCCUUUCGGCGCGCCGCCGCCCGGCGCCGCGGGACUGGGAGACCGGUGUGUCCCACCUGCCCCUGUGCUCGUCGUUUCUCCUGCUCCAGCCAUGUAGGACACACUGGUUUCCUCUUCGCCUUCUGCAAUGAUUGUAAGUUUCCUGAGGCUUCCCCAGCUAUGCUUCCUGUACAGCCUGUGGAAUUGUGAGCCAAUUAAACCUCUUUUCUUUAUAAAUUACCCAUUCAGGUAGUUCUUUAUAGCUGUGUGAGAAUGGACUAAUAAAAGUAUCAAAAUUCAUAGCCCAGUUACUUUUUAAGGGAUUUAAAAACAGUGAAAAUCUGGGUUUUCAUUAUGUCAAAGAAUGGAAAAUGGACAAUUUAAUGGCCCCUCCACUCUCUGACAUUUAAAAGUUACUCUUUUUUUGUGGUUUUAAUAUGUUAUAUACAUACACACACACACACACACAUAUCUUUUUUUUUUUUUUUUUUUGACACAGUGUCUCGCUGUGUUGCCUAGGCUGGAGUGCAGUGGCACGAUCUCAGCUCACUGCAAGCUCCGCCUCCUGGGUUCAAACGAUGCUCCUGCCUCAGCCUCCCAGAGUAGCUGAGAUUACAGGCACCCGCCACCAUGCCUGACUAAUUUUUGUGUUUUUAGCAGGGACAGGGUUUCACCAUGUUGGCCUGGCUGGUCUUGAACUCUUGACCUCAAGUGAUCCACCUGUCUCAGCCUCCCAAAGUGCUGGGAUUACAGGCAUGAGCCACUGCGCCGAGCUAAUAUGUUGUAUAUAUAUUUUUAAUUUAAGGUGUUUAAAAUUUUUUUUUAAUUUUGUAACUAUAUUUUUAAAGUUUAUGCUCUUGUUAAUCUUUUUGCUUAAAUAUUUAGAUCUGGG
rnacentral:lncRNA from 1 species